ensembl:lncRNA
GGCGUCAGUUCGGCGGCGGGACUGGAGGCGACGGGAGCUGCGAAUGCGCGUUCCGGGGAGCGCCGCUGCGCCGGGACGGGCCCCCCGCGGCUGCCGAUCCGAGGAGCGCUGCUACAGGCUGCAGUGAGAAGCAGGAGCAACCUUUAGCUACAGGAAGCUGAGGAGCUGGAGCUGAGGCAGCAGAGCCGGAGGAGACAGAAAUGUGGCGGUCCAGUCGUGUAACACCGAGACCCCCUCUGCAACCAGCCCGCAGACCCGCUCCUUCAACCUCGUGGGAAUUCAGGAAGCGGCACACGGCUCUGCGAGGAAGCCUUGAUCUUUGUCACUGGAAGGUGUCACACAGGGAGCCUUCAGGAGCGGCCGAGGAGUUGCUCUGAGCAAGGGACCACAGCCUGCUGACCAUAAGACAUUCCCAGCUGUCGAGGCAGCCUCCAUUUGCACAGGAUGUGGAUUCUCAUCCCCGGAUGCCUGAGAGAUAAGUCGAGGGCUAAGGCCCACAGAGGGGACAAAGGCAACGUGCUGGGAGGGCCUAUUGAAUCAGCUCUGGGGGCGGGCAUGUGCAAGAAGGGUCCCCUUAGGCCACCUAAAGGGAAAAUGUCUAUUUUGAUCUCGGUGCUGAAGCGUGCAGGGCAGACCAGUUCCAGUGCGUGUCCUGUCACUUGUCUCUGGUGCACUCUGUGUUGUUUGGGUCUCUCAGUCCUUGCACACAUUCUUCUCAUUGAAAGCUCUCUCUCCCUGUCCUGUCCCCUCGUUUGUCACGUCCUGUCCUGUGUCACCGGUGUCUGCACUCAUUUGUCCAGGAGCUGCUCUGCCCUGCUGCAUAGCCUGUAAUAGCAAAAGCCCCGGGACUUGAAAUUUGUAAUGCAGGGUGUAGUUGGGAUCUAGAUUCUAUUGGGAGAUUGACAUAACAUUUUUGGUGCUGUUAAGUUGUCCUGCAGCUGUUUGACACUAGUUCUAACUUCGUUUCAGAUGCAGACAGUUCAAAUCUGUGGUAGAGAGCGCCAGUCCUGGGUAAAGGUGUUGGCAUAAGCAGGUCAGUCAUUGUUUGCAUUUGCAGGAGAAGCCUAAAUCGUGACUGUGUUACAGCAGUGUUCUUUGCCUUUAUUUUUAGGAGGUCCAGGCAGAUAGCAGCAGUCAAGGCCCAUUGUGCUAGGGAAUCCCUUCGGAGUACGCAUAGCACCUGUCACCAGCUGGCCAAUGGACUGGGUUUCCUGUGCUUUAUGAGACCUCUGGAAGUAUAGCGGGACUCUGUGAUGAAGCCUAAAAAUUUUGUAUUUCAGGGUCCCAACCUGGUAGCCCAGAGGAGUGGACAAGGAAUUGCGGUGAUGCUGUCGGCCUCCAAGCACGCCUGAAGUGUGUGGCCUGGGCACUCUGAGGAGGAUGGCAGACCAAGAGGUGACAGCUGGAACUUAGCAGGCAGGAAGACGGCCUUCUUCUGCAGCCAACAGGGAUUUACAUCCCCAGAUAUGUGCAAGAUAAGUGGAGUGUUACGACCUACAGAGUGGAUGGAAGCACGGUGCUGGCUUGGGCCUUUCUAGAAGGGUUUUUUUUGUCUGUUUUGGGGAUGGGGAUGUCCAAGAAGCAUUUCCCUAGUCCUCCUAAAGGGAAAAUGUCUGUUUUGGUCUCAGUGCUGAGGUUCACAGGGCAGAGCAGUUCCGGUGUGUGUCCUGUCACUUGUCUCUGGUGCACUCUGUGUUGUUUGGGUCUCUCGGUCCUUUCUUCUCCUCGAGAGCUCUCCCUCCCUGUCACGUCCCCUCGUUUGUCACGUCCCGUCCUGUGUCACGGGUGUCUGCACAUAUUUGUCCCGGCCAUGCUCUGCCCUGCUGCAUAGCCUGGCCAGUCCAUAAGGUGAUGUUCGUCACUAAGGUUUGGCCACAGACCAUCCCCAGGCCAGGGUUUUUUUCAAGGAGGAUUUUUUGGAAGCUCCCGGGAGCCACGUUCCUGAGGAACAAUGAUUUCUGGGGUGUAACGGAGCAGUUGAGAUGAGAGCGAUGGUGAGUUUGUGUGUAACAUGAAGGAGGUGCUCAUGCUAGAUGAGUGUUGUUUUGUGUGUGUAAUCUUUCUUUUGUGUUUCCUCUAACAAUAAAACAAAAUGUAAUUAAACUAGAAAAAA